rnacentral:rRNA from 1 species
UGCAAGUCGAACGGCAGCACGGGAGCUUGCUCCUGGUGGCGAGUGGCGAACGGGUGAGUAAUAUAUCGGAACGUGCCCUAGAGUGGGGGAUAACUAGUCGAAAGAUUAGCUAAUACCGCAUACGAUCUACGGAUGAAAGUGGGGGAUCGCAAGACCUCAUGCUCAUGGAGCGGCCGAUAUCUGAUUAGCUAGUUGGUGGGGUAAAAGCUCACCAAGGCGACGAUCAGUAGCUGGUCUGAGAGGACGACCAGCCACACUGGAACUGAGACACGGUCCAGACUCCUACGGGAGGCAGCAGUGGGGAAUUUUGGACAAUGGGCGCAAGCCUGAUCCAGCAAUGCCGCGUGAGUGAAGAAGGCCUUCGGGUUGUAAAGCUCUUUUGUCAGGGAAGAAACGGUCUUGGUUAAUACCUGGGGCUAAUGACGGUACCUGAAGAAUAAGCACCGGCUAACUACGUGCCAGCA